rnacentral:ncRNA from 1 species
AAGGCGAAUCCUGAAAAGCCUGUAAGAGAGUAGGGA